rnacentral:rRNA from 1 species
AUUGAACGCUGGCGGCAGGCCUAACACAUGCAAGUCGAACGAGUGGCGGACGGGUGAGUAAUGUCUGGGAAACUGACUGAUGGAGGGGGAUAACUACGGGAAAAGGUAGCUAAUACCGCAUACCAUCGGAUGAGCCCAGAAGGGAUUAGCUAGUAGGUGGGGUAAAGGCUCACCUAGGGGACGAUCCCUAGCUGGUCUGAGAGGAUGACCAGCCACACUGGAACUGAGACACGGUCCAGACUCCGACGUGAGGCAGCAGUGGGGAAUAUUGCACAAUGGGCGCAAUCCUGAUUCAGCCAUGCCGCGUGUAUGAAGAAGGCCUUCGGGUUGUAAAGUACUUUCAGCGGGGAGGCGUUACCCGCAGAAGAAGCACCGGCUAACUACGUGCCAGCAGCCGCGGUAAUUC